rnacentral:rRNA from 1 species
AGACUGAACGCUGGCGGCAUGCCUUACACAUGCAAGUCGAACGCGAAAGCGGGGGCAACCCCGCCGGUAGAGUGGCGGACGGGUGAGUAAUACAUCGGAACGUGCCCAGGAGUGGGGGAUAGCCCGGCGAAAGCCGGAUUAAUACCGCAUACGUCCUAUGGGAGAAAGCGGGGGACCUUUCGGGGCCUCGCGCUCAUGGAGCGGCCGAUGUCGGAUUAGCUAGUUGGUGGGGUAAGAGCUCACCAAGGCGACGAUCCGUAGCUGGUCUGAGAGGAUGAUCAGCCACACUGGGACUGAGACACGGCCCAGACUCCUACGGGAGGCAGCAGUGGGGAAUUUGGACAAUGGGGGCAACCCUGAUCCAGCCAUGCCGCGUGAGUGAAGAAGGCCUUCGGGUGUAAAGCUCUUUCGGCCGGAACGAAAUCGCAGCGUUGAAUAGGCGCUGUGGAUGACGGUACCGGAAUAAGAAGCACGCUAACUACGUGCAGCAGCCG